GCUUUAUAAACUACAUAAUAAUAAGAAGCAACACUAAACAUGUAAACGCAGUAUUGAGUUGGGAUUAUGCAAAUUUCUUCGAAUCCGUUUCGCAUUUCUGGCUUAGAUAGAGACUUAUAUGGUGUUUAAGACAAAUACGAGUCGGGUGCACGCAUACCUCUGCCGGGGCUGCCGCAGUUUCAAAGUAUGGUACUUAAUUACAAAUUGGCCCUGACUAGGCCAAUAACCCUUCUCACUGACCAGUAUCUUGAACGUGGCCUCGAGAAGGAGUUGCACCACAUUCGGAUCAAGUGUGACGCUUGCGCCGCUAGGGCUGGCCCCACAACUGCGUCGGAAGUAAAAUUUUCCGGAGAUUUGCUGAACUCCCCCACUUAAGAGGCUGCCCGGCUUGGCUAGCUUUGGCGUCUCCCGGGGCUACAGAUUUUGGUCCAGUUUCAGAUGCACCGCACUUCUUCAUUUCAUACGUUGUUAUCAUAGCACGACGACUGGUGCUAUUUCAUUAAUUGGUGCUUCUUUAAUUAACUCUUAAAACGUCUAACAAAGAAAUGCGCAUGCCUGUGACCUUGAGUGAUUGGGCCCGCUGGUCCUGUCUGGUAAGUCCGUAGCCAAUGGAUGUGCUAUAUACCUACAUGUCGGGGUCCCUAUCACUGUUGUGUGCGAGAGUUUAUGUUUCAAAUGCUGGGGAUGUACUUUCGGAAGUGAAUUGGAGAGCCCGCCCAGCCAGAAGCUCCCAAACAUUUUAUGGUUCAACGAACUUGGGGAUCGAUACAGCGUUUAAUAAAACAUGUGACUCUUUUGCUGGGAGAAAAAAAAAACUGCAAACUUGAUAACGAUAAAUAUUUCAGGUUAUGAAUAAAUCAUUUGUAAAUGGUUGAAAACCCGUCCGACAGUCUGACAAUCGACAAAUACAACCUACAAACACAAAGGAAUUGUUAAUGAAAAUCAGCACAACAAUUGCAAAGCCUCAACUGCCACUGUACUUCCAGUGCAACUGCAACAAUGUACACUCAGCCCGAACGCAAUCGCAAAUCGAAUAUGGGCUGCGCAAUCGUUUCAUUCCUUAUAAAGGAGAGUGGGGCUCGCAGUGGACCAAAGAUUGAACUGGUAUAUGUUUCGUAUACGUACCACUCGCCGUGGAUUGCGUGGUGGGGCAAACAAUGCGGCAAACAAUGGUUGCCGCUGAUGCCACUGCAGAUGACUUUGGUUGGGCCGGCGGCAGUAACGACAGACAAUAUAUGGCUAACUCCUGUGCCUCCCUGGUGAAGCCUUCGUUCUCAAUCACCCCUUCAUCUUUACCUCCCCAGGAACCCCCUCUUGCGUUUGUGCGCACAGGCGCACUGGGAAAGAAAUGGCGGACUCAGGACCGA